CCGACCGUGAUGGCCUCGUCGGCCACCUCAGUUGCUCCAUUCCAGGGGCUCAAGUCCACCGCCGGACUCCCCGUGAGCCGCCGCUCCAUCAGCACCGGCUUCGUCAGCAACGGCGGAAGGAUCAGGUGCAUGCAGGUAAUAUAAUCGAUCGAUCAAGACACUGGAAUUAUAUUCUUGCUGUUUGUUCAUAGAAAUAAUGCAACUCAAUAGGAAGUUUAGGAACUGAUAUGAAAGUGUCGUUGCUCAGGUGUGGCCGGCGGAGGGCAACAAGAAGUUCGAGACCCUCUCCUACCUGCCACCUCUCUCCACGGACGAGGUCCUGAAGCAGAUCGACUACCUGAUCCGGAAGAACUGGAUCCCCUGCCUCGAGUUCAGCAAGAUCGGGUUCGUCUAUCGUGAGAACAGCACGUCUCCCUGUUACUACGACGGGCGCUACUGGACCAUGUGGAAGCUGCCCAUGUUCGGCUGCACCGAGGCCACCCAGGUGUACGCUGAGUUCGAGGAGUGCAAGAAGGCCUACCCCGACUGUUACAUCCGUAUCAUCGGCUUCGACAACAUCAAGCAGGUGCAGUGCGUCAUGUUCAUCGCCUACAAGCCCCCGGGCAGCGAGUAGACCGGCGGCGCCAAAUAAAAAGCUUAAAUACCUGUCCGUCUCAGUUCAACACCGCUUGAUUAUCUCCAUUUUUCCCCAUCUGAACGCUUCUGUAACUAUUGGGCGAGCAUGCGUGCCCAUGAGCAAUGCUACCAUUGGCUUGCUAAACAUGUGAAUGCAUGGUACAUAGC
rnacentral:lncRNA from 1 species